GAAUAUACCCUUAGGGCAACGUUCACUGGGAUAUUCCUAACCAACUUGACCAUUGACUAGGACUGUACAGGGCUAUUGUCUGGCUUUCUUUUGGCCCCUGGGAGUACGCUCGUGUUUCUCGAGCAAGAGUUCUGGCAAGCCUCGAAUGGCGGUGAUUUUCCUGGAGAGAAAACCAAGUGAGAAACACCACGAUCGAGAAGAUCUCUUACUUGGUCGCGUAGACUUCCCGCGCCUCGGCCUUCCACACCUUCAAUCGCGCGGCGUUCUCUCUCCACCGCUUCACUCGCAAAACCUCGCGGCGAGCAGUGCGAGCCCGGUAGAACUCGAUAAACUUCUUUCGAUCGGCCUGGAAGAGCGCGGGCAACGAUCAAAUUCACGGAAGAGAAAUCUAGCGAGCUUACAUUGACAUAUCUCGUCUUUUGCAAUCCACGCCACUGCCUGUUGAGAUUUCUACGCGGCCUUGGCGGCGGCCGGGGCUUGAUCACCGGAUCGUUGGCCUCGAGCUUGGUCACUCCAGUGUAGAGUGUUGGAACUCUAAAAGGAUCUGCCAGUGAAAGUCUCCACAAGAAUGCCCAAGAGAUCACCAGCAAGACAUACCCACGUAUUUGUUUCUUCGCUUGUCGCGGAACAAAUGCCGCACCCACAGGCACGAGAAUCGCAAUGCCGGUGGAUCAGCGCAGCCGGAUCUGCCCGUGAUCGCGGAUGAUCGCUGGAGUAGCGGC
rnacentral:lncRNA from 1 species